rnacentral:rRNA from 1 species
UACGUAGGGUGCAAGCGUUGCCCGGAUUUAUUGGGCGUAAAGGGCGCGUAGGCGGCUCGGCACGUCCGUUGUGAAAUCGCCCGGCUCAACUGGGCGGGGUCAGCGGAUACGGUCGAGCUUGAGCAAGCUAGGGGGCAAUGGAAUUCCCGGUGUAGCGGUGAAAUGCGCAGAUAUCGGGAGGAACACCGGUGGCGAAGGCGCUGCUCUGGGCCGGUACUGACGCUGAGGAGCGAAAGCGUGGGUAGCAAACAGG